rnacentral:rRNA from 1 species
UACGGAGGGUGCGAGCGUUGUCCGGAAUUACUGGGCGUAAAGCGUGCGCAGGCGGUUCGUUGUGUCGGUGGUGAAAGCCCCGGGCUUAACCUGGGAAUGGCCAUGGAAACUGGCGAACUGGAGUGUGGCAGAGGGGGGUGGAAUUCCGCGUGUAGCAGUGAAAUGCGUAGAGAUGCGGAGGAAUACCGAUGGCGAAGGCAGCCCCCUGGGCUAGCACUGACGCUCAGGCACGAAAGCGUGGGGAGCAAACAGG